UACGUAGGGCGCGAGCGUUGUCCGGAUUUAUUGGGCGUAAAGAGCUCGUAGGCGGUUUGUCGCGUCUGCUGUGAAAACUGGAGGCUCAACCUCCAGCCUGCAGUGGGUACGGGCAAACUAGAGUGCGGUAGGGGAGAUUGGAAUUCCUGGUGUAGCGGUGGAAUGCGCAGAUAUCAGGAGGAACACCGAUGGCGAAGGCAGAUCUCUGGGCCGUAACUGACGCUGAGGAGCGAAAGCAUGGGGAGCGAACAGG
rnacentral:rRNA from 1 species